rnacentral:rRNA from 1 species
UGGGGAAUUUUGGACAAUGGGGGCAACCCUGAUCCAGCCAUCCCGCGUGUGCGAUGAAGGCCUUCGGGUUGUAAAGUACUUUUGGCAGGGAAGAAACAGCCUGGGCUAAUAUCCCGGGCGACUGACGGUACCUGCAGAAUAAGCACCGGCUAACUACGUGCCAGCAGCCGCGGUAAUACGUAGGGUGCAAGCGUUAAUCGGAAUUACUGGGCGUAAAGCGUGCGCAGGCGGUUCGGAAAGAAAGGUGUGAAAUCCCAGGGCUUAACCUUGGAACUGCACUUUUAACUACCGGGCUAGAGUACGUCAGAGGGGGGUAGAAUUCCACGUGUAGCAGUGAAAUGCGUAGAGAUGUGGAGGAAUACCGAUGGCGAAGGCAGCCCCCUGGGAUGAUACUGACGCUCAUGCACGAAAGCGUGG